rnacentral:rRNA from 1 species
UACGGUAGGGUGCGAGCGUUAAUCGGAAUUACUGGGCGUAAAGCGUGCGCAGGCGGUUCGUUGUGUCGGCGGUGAAAGCCCCGGGCUCAACCUGGGAAUGGCCGUUGAAACUGGCGAACUGGAGUGUGGCAGAGGGGGGUGGAAUUCCGCGUGUAGCAGUGAAAUGCGCAGAUAUCAGGAGGAACACCGGUGGCGAAGGCGGGUCUCUGGGCCGAUACUGACGCUGAGGAGCGAAAGCGUGGGGAGCGAACAGG